rnacentral:rRNA from 1 species
GCAAGUCGGACGGUAACAGGGAGAAGCUUGCUUUUCCGCUGACGAGUGGCGCACGGGUGCGUAACGCGUAUACAAUCUGCCUUUUGCUGUGGGAUAGCCCAGGGAAACUUGGAUUAAUACCGCAUAGUAUAUGAAGGUGGCAUCGCCAUCAUAUUAAAGGUUACGGCAAAAGAUGAGUAUGCGUUCUAUUAGCUAGAUGGUGUGGUAACGGCACACCAUGGCAACGAUAGAUAGGGGCCCUGAGAGGGGGAUCCCCCACACUGGUACUGAGACACGGUCCAGACUCCUACGGGAGGCAGCAGCAGGGAAUAUUGCACAAUGGGCGAAAGCCUGAUGCAGCAACGCCGCGUGGGGGAUGAAGGCCUUCGGGUUGUAAACCCCUUUCAGGAGGGAAGAAAUUGACGG